CUUCCAGUAGCACGUUAGAGACCAACUAAGUUUGCUAUUGGUAUGAGCUUUCGUGUGCAUGUACACGAAAGCUCAUACCAAUAACAAACUUAGUUGGUCUCUAACGUGCUACUGGAAG